ACUGCCAGCGUAAUGGCUAAGGAGUUGGUCUUGUAACCUAAAGGUCGCAGGUUCGAUUCCCUGGUAGGA
rnacentral:tRNA from 1 species